rnacentral:rRNA from 1 species
GAUGAACGCUAGCGGGAGGCCUAACACAUGCAAGCCGAGCGGUAUUGUUUCUUCGGAAAUGAGAGAGCGGCGUACGGGUGCGUAACACGUGUGCAACCUGCCUUUAUCUGGGGGAUAGCCUUUCGAAAGGAAGAUUAAUACUCCAUAAUAUAUUGAACGGCAUCGUUUAAUAUUGAAAGCUCCGGCGGAUAGAGAUGGGCACGCACAAGAUUAGUUAGUUUGUGAGGUAACGGCUCACCAAGGCGAUGAUCUUUAGGGGGCCUGAGAGGGUCAUCCCCCUCACUGGUACUGAGACACGGACCAGACUCCUACGGGAGGCAGCAGUGAGGAAUAUUGGACAAUGGGUGCAAGCCUGAUCCAGCCAUCCCGCGUGAAGGACGACUGCCCUAUGGGUUGUAAACUUCUUUUGUAUAGGGAUAAACCUACCCUCGUGAGGGUAGCUGAAGGUACUAUACGAAUAAGCACCGGCUAACUCCGUGCCAGCCGCCGCGGUAA